CAACGUUUUUUUAUGCAACUAUAUAAGCCAGAAUUUAAACCUUUUGCCUCAUAUCUCUCCCUUACAUUCUCUCUCUACCCUCAACUUUUCUCACUCUCUCUCUUUAAGGAUAGAAGAACCAAGGAUGAAAACUUCAAAGGUCUAGAUUCUGACACCGACGCCAUCGUGAUCCGUCACCGACGCCGUCAUACUCCGCCAUCGUCCGAUGACUGAUCAAGCUAAAAUUUUCCCCGUCGCUACUUCUUGUGUUUCUCGUCUUGAAUAUAGGCUCUUUUUUUCAAAAAUCACUCUCUACAGGCGUGAAUCUGAAGUUGAUGCUUCGGGUUUUCUUUUCUUCGUUCCAACCUUUUCCACUAUUGGAUCAUUUCCAACUUUUAGUAUAUUAUUUCUCUCGUCAAACCCUUCAUCCUCACCAUAUGAAUUUCCCAGAUGUUGGGUCGAUUGUCGCUUGUCACCGUUGUCGCCAGGGUAAGUUUCGGGUUUCUCCAUUUUUUCCUCUCUAUUUUUUUAUUUUAUUUAAUCCUCCGCUUUUCAUUUUUGAUCUUUGGUUUUUGAUUUUACCACAUUUUUGAAUUGAUGUUGAUGUGACUAACUGACGAGGGGUGAUUAUCCAACAAGAAACUGAUGGUGGUGGCAAGUCCCGGUACUUGUAGCUGGUAGCUUCUGUAUGUGUUAGUGCUAAGGGACUUUGAUGGGUGGAGACUGUUUGCAUUGGUAGAGCUCAGUGAGGGCUCUACGAUGGAGUGAGAUUCUUUUUUGGGCUACGGGGUUGCAAUCAUAACAAUGGUCAAUUCUGACUAUUUGUUGGAAUUGAACUUGGGGCUGUGGUUGGGUGUGCGGCAUACCACAUUGGUUCCAGCGUGAUGGAUUUGUGGAUGGUGUUUAGUGGCUGUAUGACUCUCGCUGAUAGAAUUCGGAUUGAAUGGAAUCAAACAAAAGAGGUUUUUUGGUACGUGGUGUUGUUUAGGGUUAUCUCACAAGAGUUGAUGAUGUAGUGGGAUGUUUUCUGACUGGUUGGCAAUGGCAACAUGGUUCGGUGAGGGUUUAGAUGGCAAUGUAGAUGGCAAUGUGGAUGUAACUGUGUGUAGCUUUGGGGUUCGAUUGUGGGUUGAUGGUAGACUAGGGUUGGAUAACUAUACAAGGAGUAUUCUGCUGGCAAUAGUUUUCCUAGGACCUUACUGAUGUUCUUAGGAAUCACUCGAUCGUUUUCCCUUUUUUGUUAUUGCCCCCUCGUUCCCUUAUUGCUAAUGAAUCACUAUGAUUUAUAAAACCAUGUUGAUAGAGUUUCAGUUCAACUCUUUUUAGCAUCCAAAGCUAAAUAUUAGCAUCUAGAUAACGAUCAUCACAAUCACCAAGUCUAAUCUCGAU